rnacentral:tRNA from 1 species
GGAUUGAUAUUCAAGUGGUUAAAGAAAAUGGAUUGUAAAUCCAAUGGAAAAAAUUCCUUCAUAGGUUCAAAUCCUAUUCAAUCUA